UACAGAGGAGCCAAGCGUUGUCCGGAUUGACUGGGCGUAAAGCGCGCGCAGGCGGCCUCGCGCGCCCGACGUGAAAGCCCCCGGCUUAACCGGGGAGGGUCGUUGGGGACGGCGGGGCUUGAGGGCGGGAGAGGGUGGUGGAAUUCCCGGUGUAGUGGUGAAAUGCGUAGAGAUCGGGAGGAACACCCGUGGCGAAGGCGGCCACCUGGGCCGACCCUGACGCUGAGGCGCGAAGGCGUGGGGAGCGAACGGG
rnacentral:rRNA from 1 species